CUCUUCGAGACUUUACUUUUUCUUUUUGGAACUACACGUAAAUUCAAUUUUCACAGUCCUCUUUCAAAACAUAAUAUUUUUUUCCUUAUCUUCAAAUUGUUCAACAUGUGGUUGUUAGACACCACUAGUAUGUAGUACCUCACUACAAUGAAGGCAAUCUGUGCCUAUAAAUUUGUGUGAUGCACUCUUACAAAUUCACUCAAUUCCUU
rnacentral:lncRNA from 1 species